rnacentral:misc_RNA from 1 species
CAACAACCGUUUUCAGAAGAA